CCUACGGGAGGCAGCAGUGAGGAAUAUUGGUCAAUGGACGAGAGUCUGAACCAGCCAAGUAGCGUGAAGGAUGACUGCCCUAUGGGUUGUAAACUUCUUUUAUAUGGGAAUAAAAUGUUCCACGUGUGGGAUUUUGUAUGUACCAUAUGAAUAAGGAUCGGCUAACCCCGGGGCAGCAGCCGCGGUAAUACGGGGGAUCCGAGCGUUAUCCGGAUUUAUUGGGGUUAAAGGGGGCGGAGGUGGGUUGUUAAGUCAGUUGUGCAAGUUUGCGGCUCAACCGUAAAAUUGCAGUUGAAACUGGCAGCCUUGAGUACAGUAGAGGUGGGCGGAAUGCGUGGUGUAGCGGUGAAAUGCUUAGAUAUCACGAAGAACUCCGAUUGCGAAGGCAGCUCACUGGACUGCAACUGACACUGAGGCUCGAAAGUGUGGGUAUCAAACAGGAUUAGAUACCCCUGUAGUC
rnacentral:rRNA from 1 species